rnacentral:lncRNA from 1 species
UGCUUUCCAGAACACUUAAAGAAUUUUCCCUUAAGGAAGUAGCUUGAGCCUGCAAUGCAAAGCCCAUGAAAGGAGUUGGAAACUAUUCUUUCUUAGAGCACCAACACGGCCAGGGGAGACCUGGGCCUCCUGAAUCUAUUCUUGCUCUUUAAGAAGUCUUUAAAUUCUGAAUGAUUUCCUUUUGACUAUUCAUUAGGCAAUUAUGAUAUUUACAUAUAAAGCUUAAUUUUUUAAA